rnacentral:rRNA from 1 species
CCUACGGGAGGCAGCAGUAAGGAAUAUUGGUCAAUGGACGAAAGUCUGAACCAGCCAUGCCGCGUGAAGGAUGACGGCCCUCUGGGUUGUAAACUUCUUUUAUAUGGGACGAAAAAAGGGAAUUCUUUCUCACUUGACGGUACCAUAGGAAUAAGCACCGGCUAACUCCGUGCCAGCAGCCGCGGUAAUACGGAGGGUGCAAGCGUUAUCCGGAUUCACUGGGUUUAAAGGGCGCGUAGGUGGGUAGGUAAGUCAGUGGUGAAAUCUCCGAGCUUAACUCGGAAACUGCCAUUGAUACUAUUUAUCUUGAAUUUUUUGGAGGUGAGCGGAAUAUGUCAUGUAGCGGUGAAAUGCUUAGAUAUGACAUAGAACACCAAUUGCGAAGGCAGCUCACUACGAAAUUAUUGACACUGAGGCACGAAAGCGUGGGGAUCAAACAGGAUUAGAUACCCUGGUAGUCCACGCCCUAAACGAUGGAUACUCGACAUCAGCGAUACACUGUUGGUGUCUGAGCGAAAAGCAUUAAGUAUCCCACCUGGGAAGUACGACCGCAAGGUUGAAACUUAAAGGAAUUGACGG